rnacentral:rRNA from 1 species
ACGGCCCAGACUCCUACGGGAGGCAGCAGUAGGGAAUCUUCCGCAAUGGACGAAAGUCUGACGGAGCAACGCCGCGUGAGCGAUGAAGGCCUUCGGGUCGUAAAGCUCUGUUGUUAGGGAAGAACAAGUAUCGGAGUAACUGCCGNNACCUGACGGUAC